CCAAAAAAAUGGACAGCCAUGUGGGUGUUAGGAAAGGUUUUAUGGGAAGUUGAGGACAGCUUGACAUAGUGCCUGUGGGACAAAAUUUCCCCUAAGUCCCAUUUCAACAUCUCUCUGUUUUCCCAGACUUUUCCUUCUUCCCAAUCUUUUCCUCCUCGGCCUCUCAACCGGUGAGUUCCAGUCUCCUCCCUUAUCAUGUCCCCUCAGCAAAACAAAAACCGGUGGCUAACCAAGCCCUCCCUCCCACCGUCCCUGGCUGCAAGGACCACCGCUGCCAGUGAGGACUUCUCAGGCAUUGCCUUUAUUACUCUUAGCUGCUUUUUCUACUUGGCUCACACAGCUCCUUAUGGGCAGGGCCUAUGACUUUAUUCUUCUCUGCAUUCUCUGCUGCCUUGUUAUUUUAGUGCUGACACUGGGUCUGCACGUAGUAGGUUCUGAACAAGCAUUUAUGGCUCUGCUUUCUGGAAGGGGGCCUCCAGGAUCUCUCUCCUCUUCUGCCCACAGAAUGUGCCAUAGGAAAGGGCAGCACCCGUUUCACUAG
rnacentral:lncRNA from 1 species